CCUACGUGUGGCAGCAGUGGGGAAUAUUGCGCAAUGAGCGAAAGCCUGACGCAGCGACGCCGCGUGAGGGAUGAAGGUCUUCGGAUCGUAAACCUCUGUCAGCAGGGAAGAACGGUCACUGUGCUAAUCAGCAGUGAAUUGACGGUACCUGCAAAGGAAGCACCGGCUAACUCCGUGCCAGCAGCCGCGGUAAUACGGAGGGUGAGAGCGUUAAUCGGAAUUACUGGGCGUAAAGCGCUCGUAGGCGGUAUGUCAAGUCAAGGGUGAAAUCCCCGCGCUCAACGUGGGAACUGCCUUUGAAACUGGCAAACUGGAGUGUGUGAGAGGAUAGUGGAAUUCCAGGUGUAGGAGUGAAAUCCGUAGAUAUCUGGAGGAACAUCAGUGGCGAAGGCGACUAUCUGGCACAUAACUGACGCUGAGGAGCGAAAGCGUGGGUAGCAAACAGGAUUAGAUACCCUAGUAGUC
rnacentral:rRNA from 1 species